AACGAACGCUGGCGGCAUGCCUUACACAUGCAAGUCGAACGAGACCUCCGGGUCUUGUGGCGCACGGGUGCGUACCGCGUGGGAAGUUGCCCUUCGGUUCGGAUUCACUACCCGAAAGGGGUGCUACUACCGGCUAAUGUCUACGGCCCACAGAUUUCUCGCCUUUGGAUGGGACCGCGUUGGAUUAGCUGGUUGGUAGGGUCAAAGCCUAAUAAGGCGACGAUUCAUAGCUGGGCAGAGAGGAAGAGCAGCCACACUGAGGCUGAGACACGGCCCAGACUCUUGCAGGAUGCAGCAGUGGGUAAUAUAGGAAUGUGGGCGGAGGCAUGAACGAGCAAGGCCGGGUGAGUGAUGAAGGCCGGAAGGAAGUAAAGCGCUUUUACCCGGGAGGAUAAUGACGGUACCGGAAGAAUAAGCUCCGGCUAACUCCGUG
rnacentral:rRNA from 1 species